ACUCCUACGGGAGGCUGCAGCAAGGGAUUUUCCCCAAUGGGCUCACGCCUGAGGGAGCAACGUCGCGUGCCGGAUGACGGCCUUCGGGUUGUAAGCGGCUUUUGGGGGGGAAGAUUCUGACGGUACCCCCCGAAUAAGCCCCGGCUAACUCCGUGCCAGCAGCCGCGGUAAGACGGAGGGGGCAAGCGUUGUCCGGAAUUACUGGGCGUAAAGCGCGCGUAGGUGGUUCGUUGCGUCGGUGCUGAAAGCGCCGGGCUUAACCCGGUGAGGCGUGCCGAUACGAGCGAGCUAGAGGCAGGGAGAGGGCAGCGGAAUUCCGGGUGUAGUGGUGAAAUGCGUAGAGAUCCGGAGGAACGCCAGAGACGAAGGUGGCUGCCUGGCCCUGACCUGACACUGAGGCGCGAUAGCGUGGGGAGCAAACCGGAUUAGAUACCCGGGUAGUCCACGCCGUAAACGAUGCCAGCUCGGUGUCUGGGCCCUUUACGGGGCCUGGGUGCCUAAGCACACGCGGUAAGCUGGCCGCCUGGGGAGUACGAGCGCAAGCUUAAAACUC
rnacentral:rRNA from 1 species